rnacentral:rRNA from 1 species
AGUGAACGCUGGCGGCAGGCUUAACACAUGCAAGUCGAACGGCAGCACAGUAAGAGCUUGCUCUUACGGGUGGCGAGUGGCGGACGGGUGAGGAAUAUAUCGGAAUCUACUUUUUCGUGGGGGAUAACGUAGGGAAACUUACGCUAAUAUCGCAUACGACCCACGGGUGAAAGCAGGGGAUCUUCGGACCUUGCGCGAUUGAACGAGCCGAUGUUGGAGUAGCUAGUUGGCGGGGUAAAGGCCCACCAAGGCGACGAUCCGUAGCUGGUCUGAGAGAAGGAUCGGCCGCCCUGGAGCUGAGACGGGGUCCAGGCUCCUGCGAGAGGGAGCAGACGGGAAUGUUGGGCAGUAGGCGCAAACCUGGUCCAACCGUCCGACGUGGGAGGAGGAGGCCUUCGGUUUGUAAAGCCCUUUUGUUGGGAAAAAAAAGCAGCAGGUUGAUACCCAGCUGUUGUGACGGUACCCAAAAAAUAAGCACCGGCUAACUUCGUG